AGACGUCCUACAUUUAGAUACCCGUGUAGUCCCAGCCGUAAACUAUGCUCGCUAGGUGUCAGGCAUGGCGCGACCGUGUCUGGUGCCGCAGGGAAGCCGUGAAGCGAGCCACCUGGGAAGUACGGCCGCAAGGCUGAAACUUAAAGGAAUUGGCGGGGAGCACCACAACGGGUGGAGCCUGCGGUUUAAUUGGACUCAACGCCGGGAAGCUCACCGGAUAAGACAGCGGAAUGAUUGCCGGGCUGAAGACUCUGCAUGACUAGCUG
rnacentral:rRNA from 1 species